ACACAUCAAUCUCUGACUCACUGCCAGCAUAGGUUAAAUAUAACGAAAAUUUCAACUUGUCAAUAACAUCCAUGGGGAAUCCAGUCUAAACAAAAAUAAAGAGUUAAAGACAUCAUUUCUCAUGGCAAAUUAGGAUAGCAUAUUAAGGGAAACAUCAAAGAAGAAAAAUCAUUAAGGCUAUCAAAAUUCAAACCCGAGAAAAAUUUUCAGCCAACAAAAGAAACAAGCCCAUAUUUAGUGACUAGUGUAGUGGCUAAAUAUGGCCCUAGGGGGUGUUCGGUACAAGGUUAACAAGGGG
rnacentral:misc_RNA from 1 species